rnacentral:rRNA from 1 species
GACGAACGCUGGCGGCGUGCCUAAUACAUGCAAGUCGAGCGAGCGGAACUAACAGAUUUACUUCGGUAAUGACGUUAGGAAAGCGAGCGGCGGAUGGGUGAGUAACACGUGGGGAACCUGCCCCAUAGUCUGGGAUACCACUUGGAAACAGGUGCUAAUACCGGCUAAGAAAGCAGAUCGCAUGAUCAGCUUUUAGAAGGCGGCGUAAGCUGUCGCUAUGGGAUGGCCCCGCGGUGCAUUAGCUAGUUGGUAAGGUAAAGGCUUACCAAGGCGAUGAUGCAUAGCCGAGUUGAGAGACUGAUCGGCCACAUUGGGACUGAGACACGGCCCAAACUCCUACGGGAGGCAGCAGUAGGGAAUCUUCCACAAUGGACGCAAGUCUGAUGGAGCAACGCCGCGUGAGUGAAGAAGGUUUUCGGAUCGUAAAGCUCUGUUGUUGGUGAAGAAGGAUAGAGGUAGUAACUGGCCUUUAUUUGACGGUAAUCAACCAGAAAGUCACGGCUAACUACGUG